GUGACAGUACAGCCAAAGGGGUCCCCCAGAGACCAGGGUAAGUGACAGUACAGUCAAAGGGGUCACCUGAGAGCAGGGUACGUGACAGUACAGUCAAAGGGGUCACCUGAGAGCAGGGUACGUGACAGUACAGCCAAAGGGGUCCCCCAGAGACCAGGGUACGUGACAGUACAGUCAAAGGGGUCACCUGAGAGCAGGGUACGUGACAGUACAGCCAAAGGGGUCCCCCAGAGACCAGGGUACGUGACAGUACAGUCAAAGGGGUCACCUGAGAGCAGGGUACGUGACAGUACAGUCAAAGGGGUCCCUCAGAGACCAGGGUACGUGACAGUACAGUCAAAGGGGUCACCUGAGAGCAGGGUACGUGACAGUACAGUCAAAGGGGUACCCCAGAGACCAGGGUACGUGACAGUACAGUCAAAGGGGUCCCCCAGAGACCAGGGUACGUGACAGUGCCACACACACUUCCUACUCAGCGGACUAUGAUAGGAGAUAAGGGCAGGACGAGGCCAUCAGACGGCGGGUGCCGGUGUUCGUGCGUCGCAAUUGUGUUAUCUCUUAAUUCCCAUAAUGUGCCCGAGUUUCGACCUCGUUCACUGCGCAUAAGCUCUCACGCAUCCCUGGCCUCGCCGGGUAUAAAAGGAUACGCGUUCGCUAGCCAUACAAGACCUUCCACGCGUUCGCUAGCCUUACAAGACCUUCCACGCGUUCUUGCCAUACAAGACCUUCCGCUUUUGUGGCGAAGCCAAGAGAUUGACUGAUAAUUCAAUAUUUAAUUCCAAAGAAAAGCGCACCAAGAGUGACAUUUAUCACAGCGGCAUUAAGGCGGGAAGAGUCAGCCGUCGUCACUACGACCAGUCAGCUGUUCAAGUCGACCAGUCAGCUGUUCAAGUCGACCAGUCAGCUGUUCAAGUCGACCAGUCAGCUGUUCAAGUCGACCAGUCAGCUGUUCAAGUCGACCAGUUAGCUGUUCAAGUCGACCAAUCAGCUGUUCAAGUCGACCAGUCAGCUGUUCAAGUCGACCAGUCAGCUGUUCAAGUCGUUCUUCGUGAUGGGGAAGCUUAGAGACCUGCUUCACCAACCCGAGCAGCUCUCUGGCCCGAGGGAGGCGAGGACCAGGACUCAGACAGUCAACAGCAGCAGCAGCAGCUGUAGCAGUUACUGCAGCAGCAGCACCUGUCCCUACAGCAGCAGCAACAGUAUCGCCAGUCCUGCUUAUGGGAGCAGCAGCAGUGUUGCCAGUACCGGCCACAGUACAGACGAGGGCGACUGUUCGUCUCUCAAGAAGAUGAAGAAGAAAGUUGUUAAGAAGAAUUCUGGACACAAGCACCGAGACGUGCUGUUGACCACCAGUCUCCUGUCUUACCUGUCUGUCGGUCGUUGACGGGAACCUUAUAUAUUCCCAUAUGAUUAAAACAACAUAUCCCACUGUACAGGUGACGUGGAAUGGUUCAAACUCCUAAAAACAUAAAUAUGUGUUCAUAUGUUAAUAAUGUGGUGAGUGUGUUAAUGACACCACUCUCAUGUCUUACCUGUCUGUCAGUUGUGGAGCACGAAUCUCCUUAUCUGUCUGUCAAUCAAUGGCGAAAGCCACCUUACUCGUUAAGAUAAACUCCUAAGAAGUGCAAGUUUCUGAAACAUUCAACAAGGCCUCAGUUGAUGGAGGCGUCGCCACUUUAUCUUCUCAGGAACACAUUCUUGGAUUGUAUCAUAAAUCGCACAAAAGUCAUUCAUUGUAUAAACCUCCAUUUAUUAUUAGUUUAUGGUGUUGUACACUGAUGAAUUGUUCAUGGUGUUGUACACUGAUGAAUUGUUCAUGGUGUUGUACACUGAUGAAUUGUUCAUGGUGUUGUACACUGAUGAAUUGUUCAUGGUGUUGUACACUGAUGAAUUGUUCAUGGUGUUGUACACUGAUGAAUUGUUCAUGGUGUUGUACACUGAUGAAUUGUUCAUGGUGUUGUACACUGAUAAAUUGUUCAUGGUGUUGUACACUGAUGAAUUGUUCAUGGUGUUGUACACUGAUGAAUUGUUCACGGUGUUGUACACUGAUGAAUUGUUCCCGGUGUUGUACACUGAUGAAUUGUAUUGGUAUUUGUGCAGUGUGUUGAGGGGUCGACACUGAACAUAUUUAACGAAGACUUGUUCAGUCUCUGAAAAACCGUAUUUUUAACCUCGACUCACAAUAACAUUAUACACUAUUUUUGCAUUCUCUUAAGAUAAAUACAUAUUAAGAUUUUCCAUA